AUGAACGCUGGCGGCGUGCCUAAUACAUGCAAGUCGAGCGAACAGACGAGGAGCUUGCUCCUCUGACGUUAGCGGCGGACGGGUGAGUAACACGUGGAUAACCUACCUAUAAGACUGGGAUAACUUCGGGAAACCGGAGCUAAUACCGGAUAAUAUAUUGAACCGCAUGGUUUAAUAGUGAAAGACGGCUUUGCUGUCACUUAUAGAUGGAUCCGCGCCGCAUUAGCUAGUUGGUAAGGUAACGGCUUACCAAGGCAACGAUGCGUAGCCGACCUGAGAGGAUGAUCGGCCACACUGGAACUGAGACACGGUCCAGACUCCUACGGGAGGCAGCAGUGGGGAAUAUUGCGCAAUGGGCGAAAGCCAGACCCAGCAACACCGCGUGAGUGAUGAAGGUCUUCGGAUCGUAAAACUCUGUUAUUAGGGAAGAACAAAUGUGUAAGUAAAUAUGCACGUCUUGACGGUACCUAAUCAGAAAGCCACGGCUAACUACGUG
rnacentral:rRNA from 1 species